UGGGGAAUAUUGGACAAUGGGGGAAACCCUGAUCCAGCAAUGUCGCGUGAGUGAUGAAGGCCUUAGGGUUGUAAAACUCUUUCAGCAGUGAAGAUAAUGACUGUAACUGCAGAAGAAGCUCCGGCUAACUCCGUGCCAGCAGCCGCGGUAAUACGGAGGGGGCUAGCGUUGUUCGGAAUUACUGGGCGUAAAGAGCGCGUAGGCGGAUCAAAAAGUUAGACGUGAAAUCCCUAAGCUCAACUUAGGAACUGCGUUUAAAACUAUUGGUCUUGAAUUCGGUAGAGGAUAGUGGAAUUUCCAGUGUAGAGGUGAAAUUCGUAGAUAUUGGAAAGAAUACCAGUGGCGAAGGCGACUAUCUGGACCGACAUUGACGCUGAGGCGCGAAAGCGUGGGUAGCGAACAGG
rnacentral:rRNA from 1 species